rnacentral:rRNA from 1 species
CACGUAGGGCGCAAGCGUUGUCCGGAAUUAUUGGGCGUAAAGAGCUCGUAGGUGGUUUGUUACGUCUGCUGUGAAAACCUAGGGCUUAACCCCGGGCCUGCAGUGGGUACGGGCAGACUAGAGUGCGGUAGGGGAGACUGGAAUUCCUGGUGUAGCGGUGAAAUGCGCAGAUAUCAGGAGGAACACCGGUGGCGAAGGCGGGUCUCUGGGCAGUGAACUGACGC